rnacentral:rRNA from 1 species
GUGAAAUCCGCUUUCGGGCGGAGAGUAAAGUGGCGCACGGGUGAGUAACGCGUGGGUAAUCUACCCCGAGGCUCGGGAUAACCAACCGAAAGGCUGGCUAAUACCGGAUAAUGUCCCGUCAUAUAAGUGACGUGACCAUAGGAGGCUUAGGCUUCCGCCACGGGAUGGGCCCGCGUACCAUUAGCUAGUUGGUAGGGUAAUGGCCUACCAAGGCGACGAUGGUUAGCUGGUCUGAGAGGACGAUCAGCCACACUGGAACUGAGACACGGUCCAGACUCCUACGGGAGGCAGCAGUGGGGAAUAUUGCGCAAUGGGGGAAACCCUGACGCAGCGACGCCGCGUGAGCGAUGAAGGCCCUCGGGUCGUAAAGCUCUGUCAGGUGGGAAGAACCCUUCAUCGGCGAAUAACCGGUGAAGCUGACGGUACCACCAGAGGAAGCACCGGCUAACUCCGUGCCAGCAGCCGCGGUAACACGGAGGGUGCAAGCGUUGUUCGGAAUCACUGGGCGUAAAGGACGCGCAGGCGGUCCGGUCAGUCGGAAGUGAAAUCCAUCGGCUCAACCGAUGAACGGCUUCCGAUACUGCCGGACUUGAGUACGGGAGAGGAAAGCGGAAUUCCCAGUGUAGAGGUGAAAUUCGUAGAUAUUGGGAAGAACACCGGUGGCGAAGGCGGCUUUCUGGACCGAUACUGACGCUGAGGCGUGAAAGCGUGGGGAGCAAACAGGAUUAGAUACCCUGGUAGUCCACGCUGUAAACGGUGA